rnacentral:lncRNA from 10 species
AACUGCACAAGAUGUUAUAAUAUGUUCGGCUUAACUUGGAACCAUUGCAGUAUUACCUCAGUCAACUUUCUUUACUAUAAUUGAAAGUGAAUGAUUACCGGCUUUUUAGCUAAUAUCAAAAAAGAUUCAUUCCAAUCUAGAAGACUGCCUGCAAGCAAUGCGAACACGUGUGUCUAGUUUCUUGGCAGGGUCUCCCAGUUUCCCCUGUCUUUUUUCUUUCUCCUGAUGCAAAAUCACAGAAUGCUUUGACAGCUCUGUGACCCAGCCAACUUUAGAUUUUUCCCAGUAAGCUUCAAACAAAACCGAGAUCUCAAACAUUCCCAGGCACUGAUAAAGUUAUCUAGGUUUUUGCCCAAAGCACUGAAAGAAACUGGCCUUGGCCCUGAGCCAAAUUUCUUAAACCUUCCUGAAUAUGCCAUAACUGGACCUCCCUCACUAGAGCUGUAUUUAGGUAGAACGUGCAUUUCUCUCGCUGUCUUCUAGAGGAUUGCUGCAGACUGUGUAAUAAAUGCUUUGGUCUGG